rnacentral:rRNA from 1 species
UCCGACUGUUUAACAAAAACAUAACCUUUAGCCAAACAAGUAUUAAAGGCAACGCCUGCCCAGUGAACAAUUAAACGGCCGCGGUACCCUAACCGUGCAAAGGUAGCGUAAUCACUUGUCUAUUAAUUGUAGACCCGUAUGAAAGGCAAAAUGAGGGCCUAACUGUCUCUUAUAAUAAAUCAAUUAAACUGAUCUCCCAGUACAAAAGCUGGAAUACUAACAUAAGACCAGAAGACCCUGUGAAGCUUAAACUAAACUAUUAAAACACAUAAUAACUACUUUCGGUUGGGGCGACCUUGGAAAAAAAAAGAACUUCCAAAGGCCAACAAGCCAAACAAUAGACCCAGCAAAGCUGAUAAUUGAACCAAGUUACUCCAGGGAUAACAGCGCUAUCUUCCUCAAGAGCCCAUAUCAAAAGGAAGGUUUACGACCUCGAUGUUGGAUCAGGACAUCCUAAUGGUGCAGCCGCUAUUAAGGGUUCGUUUGUUCAACGAUUAACAGUCCYACGUGAUCUGAGUUCARACCGGAGA